GUCUGUGCCAUGAUGUGGCUGUGACUGACAUCUGUCACUCCAGUAAUCACCAGGGUUGAUUCAGCUGAUCUAGCCAGGGAGGUACCCCCUUCUUGUCUCUCACGGAGAUGUGUAUAUCUUUCCUGAUGUGUGCAUUUUCCCCAAGGCUACGCACUCUGUACCAAAAGGCUGGUUUUGUAAAGAAUCUUCAAAUAGCUGUGCCCUGCUAGUAGAACCUCUAAGCAAGCUCUCAAUACCCGGAUAUGUUUUCCUGACAAUGCUAAUGGUUAGGAGACCCUAACCUACCUGUCCCCCAUCCCCAUUACAAAGUCCGCCUGAACAACCUGUCUUUCAGAUAUGGC
rnacentral:snRNA from 1 species